UAGAGUUUGAUCCUGGCUCAGGACGAACGCUGGCGGCGUGCCUAAUACAUGCAAGUCGAACGAACUCUGGUAUUGAUUGGUGCUUGCAUCAUGAUUUACAUUUGAGUGAGUGGCGAACUGGUGAGUAACACGUGGGAAACCUGCCCAGAAGCGGGGGAUAACACCUGGAAACAGAUGCUAAUACCGCAUAACAACUUGGACCGCAUGGUCCGAGUUUGAAAGAUGGCUUCGGCUAUCACUUUUGGAUGGUNCCCGCGGCGUAUUAGCUAGAUGGUGAGGUAACGGCUCANCCAUGGCAAUGAUACGUAGCCGACCUGAGAGGGUAAUUCGGCCACAUGGA
rnacentral:rRNA from 2 species